AUUGAACGCUGGCGGCAUGCUUUACACAUGCAAGUCGAACGGUAACAGGGAGCUUGCUCCGCUGACGAGUGGCGAACGGGUGAGUAAUGCGUCGGAACGUGCCGAGUAGUGGGGGAUAACGCAGCGAAAGUUGUGCUAAUACCGCAUACGUACUGAGGUAGAAAGUGGGGGACCUUCGGGCCUCACGCUAUUCGAGCGGCCGACGUCUGAUUAGCUAGUAGGUGAGGUAAAGGCUCACCUAGGCGACGAUCAGUAGCGGGUCUGAGAGGAUGAUCCGCCACACUGGGAAGGAGACACGGCCCAGACUCCUACGGGAGGCAGCAGUGGGGAAUUUUGGACAAUGGGCGAAAGCCUGAUCCAGCCAUGCCGCGUGUCUGAAGAAGGCCUUCGGGUUGUAAAGGACUUUUGUCGGGGAGGAAAUCCCCAGCGCUAAUACCGCUGGGGGAUGACAGUACCUGAAGAAUAAGCACCGGCUAACUACGUGCCAGCAGCCGCCGUAAAAC
rnacentral:rRNA from 1 species